AGCUCCAAUAGCGUAUAUUAAAGUUGCUGCAGUUAAAAAGCUCGUAGUUGGAUUUGUGGGAUGGCCGUCCGGCGGGGGGCCUUUCAUGGUCCCGUUUGUCCUGGUUUUCGGCCUUCCCUUUCUCGGGUCUAGCGUAUUGGCUGGCAUUAGGUUGUCGGCCGCUUCGCGCCCGUCGUUUACUGUGAAAAAAUUAGAGUGUUCAAAGCAGGCUUAGGCCGUUGGAUACAUUAGCAUGGAAUAAUGAGAUAGGGCCACCGCGGUCUAUUUUGUUGGUUUGCACGUUGUGGUAAUGAUUAACAGGAACGGUUGGGGGUAUUCGUAUUCAAUUGUCAGAGGUGAAAUUCUUGGAUUUGUGGAAGACGAACUACUGCGAAAGCAUUUACCAAGGAUGUUUUCAUUA
rnacentral:rRNA from 1 species